rnacentral:rRNA from 1 species
UACAGAGGUCUCAAGCGUUGUUCGGAUUCAUUGGGCGUAAAGGGCGCGUAGGCGGCGGGGUCAGUCGGGUGUGAAAUCUUGGGGCUUAACCCCGAAACGGCAUUCGAUACUGCGGUGCUUGAGGACUGGAGAGGAGACUGGAAUUUACGGUGUAGCGGUGAAAUGCGUAGAUAUCGUAAGGAAGACCAGUGGCGAAGGCGGGUCUCUGGACAGUUCCUGACGCUGAGGCACGAAGGUCAGGGGAGCAAACGGG